rnacentral:rRNA from 1 species
CUCAGCGAAGUUGAAAUGUUGUGAUGAUGCAAUCUCCCCGCGGAAAGACGGAAAGACCCCAUGAACCUUUACUGUAGCUUUGUAUUGGACUUUGAACAGAUCUGUGUAGGAUAGGUGGGAGGCUUUGAAGUGUGGUCGCUAGAUCGCAUGGAGCCAACGUUGAAAUACCACCCUGGUGUGUUUGAGGUUCUAACCUAGGUCCAUUAUCUGGAUCGGGGACAGUGCAUGGUAGGCAGUUUGACUGGGGCGGUCUCCUCCCAAAGCGUAACGGAGGAGUUCGAAGGUACGCUAGGUACGGUCGGACAUCGUGCUAAUAGUGCAAUGGCAUAAGCGUGCUUAACUGCGAGACUGACAAGUCGAGCAGAUGCGAAAGCAGGACAUAGUGAUCCGGUGGUUCUGUAUGGAAGGGCC